rnacentral:rRNA from 1 species
GUAGUCUCGCACAGACUGCAUAUCAAUAAGCGGAGGAAAAGAAACUAACAAGGAUUCCCCUAGUAACGGCGAGUGAAGCGGGAAGAGCUCAAAUUUGAAAUCUUAAAGGGCUUUCCCUCUACGAAUUGUAGUUUAAAGAAGUGUUUUCUGUUGAGGUUUUGGUAAAAGUUCUUUGGAAUAGGACAUCAUAGAGGGUGAGAAUCCCGUAUUUGACCUUUACUUUCAACUUUGUGAUACACUUUCAAAGAGUCGGAUUGUUUGGGAAUGCAGUCCAAAAUGGGUGGUAAAUUUCAUCUAAAGCUAAAUAUUGGCGAGAGACCGAUAGCGAACAAGUACCGUGAGGGAAAGAUGAAAAGAACUUUGAAAAGAGAGUUAAACAGUACGUGAAAUUGUCAAAAGGGAAGCGUUUGACACCAGUGUUGUUUUUCUGAAAAUCAAUUAAAGAACUGUUUAUGCUAAGCUGUUUAGACUUUAUCAGCUAUCUGUUUAGUUUUGAGCUUUUCUUUAAUGCACUUUUCAGUUAACAAGUCAACAUCAAUUUCUUUUGCUGUAAAAAAGCUUGAGGAAGGUGGCUUGAGAUUCGUCUUAAGUGUUUAUAGCCUCUUGCCUAUGCAGUCGGAGAGAUUGAGGUCUGCAGCGUAGAUCCUUCGGGGCUAAAUGCAUUUGUGCUAAGUUAUAGCAUUUUAUAGACAACUUGUUGACUAUGAUUUGUCUUGUAGCUUACUCGCUUAUGUUAUUUUACCUACGCUUAGGAUGUUGAAGACUCUACAGAGAUA